AACGCUAGCUACAGGCUUAACACAUGCAAGUCGAGGGGUAGCAGGGUAGCAAUACCGCUGACGACCGGCGCACGGGUGAGUAACACGUAUCCAACCUUCCCAUUACUCGGGGAUAGCCUUUCGAAAGAAAGAUUAAUACCCGAUAGUACUUUUUCGAGGCAUCUCGUAAAAAGUUAAAGAUUUAUUGGUAAUGGAUGGGGAUGCGUUCCAUUAGAUUGUUGGUGAGGUAACGGCUCACCAAGUCUUCGAUGGAUAGGGGUUCUGAGAGGAAGGUCCCCCACAUUGGUACUGAGACACGGACCAAACUCCUACGGGAGGCAGCAGUGAGGAAUAUUGGUCAAUGGGCGAGAGCCUGAACCAGCCAAGUAGCGUGAAGGAUGAAGGUCCUAUGGAUUGUAAACUUCUUUUAUAGUAGAAUAAAGUGAGCCACGUGUGGUUUUUUGUAUGUAUACUAUGAAUAAGGAUCGGCUAACUCCGUGCCAGCAGCCGCGGUAAUACGGAGGAUCCGAGCGUUAUCCGGAUUUAUUGGGUUUAAAGGGUGCGUAGGCGGAAUAAUAAGUCAGUUGUGAAAGUUUGCGGCUCAACCGUAAAAUUGCAGUUGAUACUGUUAUUCUUGAGUGUACAUAAGGUAGGCGGAAUUCGUGGUGUAGCGGCGAAAUGCUUAGAUAUCACGAAGAACUCCGAUUG
rnacentral:rRNA from 1 species